rnacentral:rRNA from 1 species
UGGGGAAUUUUGCACAAUGGGGGAAACCCUGAUGCAGCGACGCCGCGUGAUUUAGAAGGCCUUCGGGUUGUAAAAAUCUUUUCUAUGGGAAUAAAAUGACAGUACCAUAGGAAUAAGGACCGGCUAAUUACGUGCCAGCAGCCGCGGUAAUACGUAAGGUCCGAGCGUUGUCCGGAAUCAUUGGGCGUAAAGGGUACGUAGGCGGGUAAGCAAGUUAGAAGUGAAAUCCUAUAGCUCAACUAUAGUAAGCCUUUAAAACUGCUCAUCUUGAGGUAUGGAAGGGAAAGUGGAAUUCCUAGUGUAGCGGUGAAAUGCGCAGAUAUUAGGAGGAAUACCGGUGGCGAAGGCGACUUUCUGGCCAUAACCUGACGCUGAGGUACGAAAGCGUGGGUAGCAAACAGG